AUUAAUUAUUUUAAUUUUAUUUUUUUUUAUAGAAAUUUUAUAAAAAUAAUUUAAAUAUAUUUUGUUUUAGUAUUUAGUAAAAAUAAAUUUUUAGAUUGAUAGUUUAAUAGUAUUGUAAAAGAAAAUUUUAAAUUUUAUAAAGAAUUUAUUUAUUUAGUACCUUUUGUAUCAGGGUUAAUUAAAAUUUUUAAUUUAAUUUUAAAUUCUCAAAAUAUAUAGAGUUAAUUUUAUUAUUAAUUUAUUGUUUUAUAAAUAUUUAAAAAAUAAUAUUAGUUUUGAAAUUUAAUUCGUUAUAUUAUAUUUAGUUAUUUAAGAAUUAAAUUUAAUUUAAAAUUUUAAAAGUUUAAUUUAUAAUUAUAAGUUAAUAUUAUUUUAAAUUUAAAUUAUUUUAGGGAUAAGCUUGAAAUUUUUAUAUAAUAAUAUAUAUUUAAUUAAAUAAUUUUUAGGAAUAGAAAUUUUUAUUUAAGUUUGUAAAAAUUUAUUAUUUAAUUUUAUUUAAUUUAUUAUAAAUUAUUUAUUUUUAAUAUUAAAUUUUAUAAAUUAAUAAUUUAUUUUUAGUAAUAAUGAUUAAAUUAGUAUAAUUAAGUUAUUUAUAAAUUAUGAAUUUGGCAAAAAUUAUUUUCAUCUGUUUAACAAAAACAUAGUAUUAAGAAAUUUAUUUAAUAUAGAAUCUGCUCAAUGAUUUUAAUUAAAUAGCUGCAGUAUUUUGACUGUGCAAAGGUAGCAUAAUAAUUAGUCUUUUAAUUGGGGACUAGAAUGAAAGAUUUGAUGAAAAAUAGACUUUAUUAUUUAUAAAAUUAAAAUUUUAUUUUUAAGUAAAAAAGCUUAAAUAUUUUAAAGGGACGAUAAGACCCUAUAAAACUUUAUAAUUAUUUUAUUAAAAUUUUUGGGUUAUAUAAAUUUUAAUUUUUUUAAUUAUUUUAUUGGGGUGAUAAAAAAAAAUGUUUAACUUUUUUUAAAAUUUUACAUUAAUUAAUGAUAUUUUUGAAUUAAAAUUUUUAAUUAAAUGAAAAAGUUACUUUAGGGAUAACAGCGUAAUUAAUUUUUUAAGUCCAAAUUUAAAAAUUAGUUUGCGACCUCGAUGUUGAAUUAAGAUUAAUCUUAGGUGCAAAAUUUUAAGUUAUAGGUCUGUUCGACCUUUAAAUUCUUACAUGAUUUGAGUUCAAACCGGUGUAAGCCAGGUUGGUUUCUAUCUUUUAAAAUUAUAUUUAUUUUAGUACGAAAGGAUUAAAUAAAUAAAUAAUAUUUUAAAAAAAUGAUUUAAAUUAAUUAUUA
rnacentral:rRNA from 2 species